rnacentral:rRNA from 1 species
GUGCAAUGCGGCGUGCUAUACAUGCAGUCGUACGAGGCUGCCAUUGAUUGGUGCUUGCAUCAUGAGUUACAUUUGAGUGAGUGGCGAACUGGUGAGUGACACGUGGGAAACCUGCCCAGAAGCGGGGGAUAACACCUGGAAACAGAUGCUAAUACCGCAUAACAACUUGGACCGCAUGGUCCGAGUUUGAAAGAUGGCUUCGGCUAUCACUUUUGGAUGGUCCCGCGGCGUAUUAGCUAGAUGGUGGGGUAACGGCUCACCAUGGCAAUGAUACGUAGCCGACCUGAGAGGGUAAUCGGCCACAUUGGGACUGAGACACGGCCCAAACUCCUACGGGAGGCAGCAGUAGGGAAUCUUCCACAAUGGACGAAAGUCUGAUGGAGCAACGCCGCGUGAGUGAAGAAGGGUUUCGGCUCGUAAAACUCUGUUGUUAAAGAAGAACAUAUCUGAGAGUAACUGUUCAGGUAUUGACGGUAUUUAACCAGAAAGCCACGGCUAACUACGUGCCAGCAGCCGCGGUAAUACGUAGGUGGCAAGCGUUGUCCGGAUUUAUUGGGCGUAAAGCGAGCGCAGGCGGUUUUUUAAGUCUGAUGUGAAAGCCUUCGGCUCAACCGAAGAAGUGCAUCGGAAACUGGGAAACUUGAGUGCAGAAGAGGACAGUGGAACUCCAUGUGUAGCGGUGAAAUGCGUAGAUAUAUGGAAGAACACCAGUGGCGAAGGCGGCUGUCUGGUCUGUAACUGACGCUGAGGCUCGAAAGUAUGGGUAGCAAACAGGAUUAGAUACCCUGGUAGUCCAUACCGUAAACGAUGAAUGCUAAGUGUUGGAGGGUUUCCGCCCUUCAGUGCUGCAGCUAACGCAUUAAGCAUUCCGCCUGGGGAGUACGGCCGCAAGGCUGAAACUCAAAGGAAUUGACGGGGGCCCGCACAAGCGGUGGAGCAUGUGGUUUAAUUCGAAGCUACGCGAAGAACCUUACCAGGUCUUGACAUACUAUGCAAAUCUAAGAGAUUAGACGUUCCCUUCGGGGACAUGGAUACAGGUGGUGCAUGGUUGUCGUCAGCUCGUGUCCUGAGAUGUUGGGUUAAGUCCCGCAACGAGCGCAACCCUUAUUAUCAGUUGCCAGCAUUAAGUUGGGGACUCUGGGUGAGACUGCCGGGGACAAACCGGAGGAAAGGUGGGGAGAAGCUCAAAUCUCCUGGCCCCUAUGAACCGG